GACGAACGCUGGCGGCGUGCCUAACACAUGCAAGUCGGACGGAUCAGGGAUGACAGCUUGCUGUAGUUCCUGGUUAGUGGCGGACGGGUGAGUAACGCGUGAGGACCUACCCUGGAGAGGGGGAUAACGGCUGGAAACGGCUGCUAAUACCCCGUAAGCCGGAGGGUGAAAGGGAGCGAUCUGCUCCGGGGCGGCCUUGCGUCCUAUCAGCUAGUUGGUGGGGUAAUGGCCUACCAAGGUGAAGACGGUGAGCCGGCCUGAGAGGGCGAACGGCAACACUGGAACUGAGACACGGUCCAGACUCCUACGGGAGGCAGCAGUGGGGAAUAUUGGGCAAUGGGGGCAACCCUGACCCAGCGACGCCGCGUGAGGGACGAAGUCCUUCGGGAUGUAAACCUCUGUUGUGGGGGAAGAAGCGAGUGACGGUACCUCACGAGGAAGCCCCGGCAAACUACGUGCCAGCCGCCGCGGUAA
rnacentral:rRNA from 1 species